GGGACUCUUCUUCUUAAAUGUGAAAAUGGAGAUUGGAGACCCCAGUUCACCAGACACAUUGAGCCCUGGUGGUGUUCAGGUUUCAUGAUUUGAUCAAGCCAGGGAAACAACCAGCUCUGGAUUUCCAAGGAACCAGGAUUUAGGGGCCAGAUGCUCAUAUAGGGAACAGGGCUCCUCAGCCUUGUCUUGUCCCACCCAUUGAAUCGGCGGAACCCCUUGGCCAUGAAGUCUGAAUUUACUGCAUCUCUUUGAACAACAUACUUUGGAUUUUGGCCACGCCCUCAAGAUCCAGACUUAAGGACAUCCGGAAUCAAAGAGAACCAUCACUGUUUCUGCAACCGCCCUCUGUUUUCAUACCCUGCUCCCGAGUCAGGUUAAGUGCCACGACAUAAAAGGGCGAAUUCUAACAGAAGUCCAAAUGAGGGGUGCCUUGAAAUGCCCCACCAACGCUGGCAUGGAGAAGAAGUGUG